GCGCACCAGUCGCGAAACCUUCGCAAUGCGGGAAACCGCGACGAGGGGACUCCCAGUGCCUACGCUCAGCGUAGGCUGUUCCCGAGCCUAGAAAGCUCGGGGAGUAAGGGCUGGGUAAGACGGGUGCCAGCCGCCGCGGUAAUACCCGCAGCCCGAGUGGUGGCCACUAUUAUUGGGCCUAAAGCGUCCGUAGCCGGCCCGGUAAAUGCCUGGGUAAAUCGUGAGGCCUAACCUCACGAAUUCCGGGUAGACUGCCGGGCUAGGGACCGGAGGAGGGAGAGGGGUACUCCAGGGGUAGGGGUGAAAUCCUGUAAUCCCUGGAGGACCACCGGUGGCGAAGGCGCUCUCCUAGGACGGGUCCGACGGUGAGGGACGAAAGCCAGGGGAGCGAACCGGAUUAGAUACCCGCGUAGU
rnacentral:rRNA from 1 species